UGACCCUCCAGUUUAGAGGAAAGAAAAGGAGCAACGUGAGCCUGCUCGCCUCGCUGAAUGUCCCAGGGGAAUGGUGACUUCCAUCUGCUGCAAGAGCAAACCUCAGACCAGAUCCGUCAGAGGGACCGUCAGCAUCACAGGGAGCCCCAGGGAGCCAGCGAUGCCGUGGGUGCUCCAGCAGCCCUGGAACGUGGGUGCCCAGGUCUGAGAGUCAUUGACUGUACGGCAGAAUAACAAUACCCACUUCAUGGAAUUGUUGGAGAGGAGGAUUAAAUGAAACAGCCUUUGCAGAGCUUACA